AAUUCUCAACCUUACCAGCUUUGUCUGUUGUGAGGCUUGGAUGUGAGGGCCUGCCGGCUUCCUUCAGUGGAUGGUCAGCUCCCUUGAAAUGCAUUAGUGGGAUCCUUUGUGGACGGUCACUUGGUGUGAUAAUUAUCUACGCCGCUUGACUGCGAAGCAAGCCUUGUGGGAACCCGCUCAUAACCGUCUUCGGACAAUAUCUUGACA
rnacentral:misc_RNA from 1 species